GACGGGAUUUACGAAACCCAAGGUGCAUGCCGAGGGGCGGUUGGCCUCGUAAAAAGCCGCAAAAAAUAGUCGCAAACGACGAAAACUACGCUUUAGCAGCUUAAUAACCUGCUCUGAGCCCUCUCUCCCUAGCUUCCGCUCUUAAGACGNNGGGAUCAAAGAGAGGUCAAACCCAAAAGAGAUCGCGUGGAUGCCCUGCCUGGGGUUGAAGCGUUAAAUCUAAUCAGGCUAGUUUGUUAGUGGCGUGUCUGUCCGCAGCUGGCAAGCGAAUGUAAAGACUGACUAAGCAUGUAGUGCCGAG
rnacentral:tmRNA from 1 species